UAGGGAAUAUUGCACAAUGGGCGAAAGCCUGAUGCAGCAACGCCGCGUGCGCGAUGAAGGCCUUCGGGUCGUAAAGCGCUUUUCAAGGAGAAGAGGAAGGACGGUAUCCUUGGAAUAAGUCUCGGCUAACUACGUGCCAGCAGCCGCGGUAAAACGUAGGAGGCGAGCGUUAUCCGAAUUUACUGGGCGUAAAGCGUGUGCAGGCGGUUCGAUAAGUUGGAUGUAAAAUCUCCUGGCUCAACUGGGAGGGUCGUUCAAGACUGUCGGGCUAGAGGGCGGUAGAGGGAGGUGGAAUUCCCGGUGUAGUGGUGAAAUGCGUAGAUAUCGGGAGGAACACCUGUGGCGAAAGCGGCCUCCUGGGCCGAACCUGACGCUCAGACACGAAAGCUAGGGGAGCAAA
rnacentral:rRNA from 1 species